rnacentral:rRNA from 1 species
UACGUAGGGUGCAAGCGUUGUCCGGAAUUAUUGGGCGUAAAGAGCUCGUAGGCGGUUUGUCGCGUCUGCUGUGAAAACUCGGGGCUUAACCCCGGGCCUGCAGUGGGUACGGGCAGACUAGAGUGCGGUAGGGGAGACUGGAAUUCCUGGUGUAGCGGUGAAAUGCGCAGAUAUCAGGAGGAACACCAGUGGCGAAGGCGGCUCUCUGGUCUGUAACUGACGCUGAGGCGCGAAAGCGUGGGGAGCAAACAGG